GGUCCCAUAGUUAAGUGGUUAUAACAGUGGCUUGUCACGCCACAGUCAGGGGUUCAAUUCCCCUUGGGACCGCCA
rnacentral:tRNA from 1 species